rnacentral:rRNA from 1 species
CACGUAGGGGGCAAGCGUUGUCCGGAUUUAUUGGGCGUAAAGAGCUCGUAGGCGGCUCAGUAAGUCGGGUGUGAAACCUCCAGGCUCAACCUCCGGCCUGCAGUGGGUACGGGCAAACUAGAGUGCGGUAGGGGAGAUUGGAAUUCCUGGUGUAGCGGUGGAAUGCGCAGAUAUCAGGAGGAACACCGAUGGCGAAGGCAGAUCUCUGGGCCGUAACUGACGCUGAGGAGCGAAAGCGUGGGGAGCGAACAGG